rnacentral:rRNA from 1 species
UACGGGGGGGGCAAGCGUUGUUCGGAAUUACUGGGCGUAAAGGGUUUGUAGGUGGCCGGCUAAGUCAGACGUGAAAUCCCUCAGCUUAACUGGGGAACUGCGUCUGAAACUGAUCGGCUCGAGUGCAGGAGAGGAACGCGGAAUUCCAGGUGUAGCGGUGAAAUGCGUAGAUAUCUGGAGGAACACCGGUGGCGAAGGCGGCAUCCUGGACCAACACUGACACUGAGGAGCGAAAGCCAGGGGAGCAAACGGG